rnacentral:lncRNA from 1 species
GUAUCCAUGAGGAGGCAGGUUCAAUCCCUGGCCUUGCUCAGUGGGUUAAGGAUCUGGCAUUGCCCAUUAGCUGUGGUAUAGGUCACAGACGAGGCUGGGAUCCUGCGUUGCUGUGGCUGUGGUAUAGGCCAGCGGCUACAGACCCUUAGCCUGGGAUAGCCUAGGAACCUCCAUAUGCUGUAGGUGCAGCCCUAAAAAAAAAAAAAGAAGAAGAAGAAAGAAAUGCUGGACUUCUUAAACUCAGAGAGAGACAGACAGAGAGAUCAUUAACCCUGGGGAGCCCGUGAGCCUUAUCCUGAGCAUAUUCAUUCACUUUCUCAUGGUCUUUGAGAUAGCUGGGCAUUUGAAGCAGGGCAUCCAAGGGGUCACCUUUGGCCAGCUGCUGAGUCCUGUUGCCUUGGAUGGCCUUCCCCGGCAGAUGUGAUGUGCUGCUCUUCUUGCCAGCUCUCUCCUCUGUGUCUGCUUCCUGGGGGCACCCCACCCUCAUGUCACCAGCAGGGCUGCCUCUGGGUGAAAGCACUUACUCCUGCCACAGGCCCCUGUCAUCUCUGACAGCCCAGAUGCCCAACGCAGCCCUCCCUCUGGUCCUGGUGUCAGAGUCAAAGGCCUGGCACCAGCUUUCGCCAGCAGAAUGUGCCUCUUCCCUGCUAUAGCGCAAAAAAGUACCGAACAUGUCAAUUAAAAUAGAGUGGAAGAGGGCAGAGCGAGGUAGGCGAGAUCUGGCGUUUACCAAGAUAACCCAUUUCCUGCUGGGCUGAUGGCUUUCUUUAGGCCUCACAGUCCUGCUUGAUUAAUGGGCAGGUCAUUUCCCACCAACACCAUGAACAUAGCUACUGCUUUCAGCAUCUGUCUCCUUUGCCCUAUUCUAGCAGACUUCUCUCUGUCCUAUAAUUUGCUCUCUUCUUUAGCAAAAGGGUUUGACCUUAGAACUACCUACAUAUUUCCAUGAGAGGAGAAUCCCCCGACACAACCACAUACAGAGAUGUCAGAAAAGGAGCCCUAUUUCUUUUCAUUUGCCUCUUUGUCUUUGGGCUUUCCCAUUACAUUCCAUGACAUGAUAAAAGCUCGAUUUUUAGAGCUGCAAGGGGGCUUCACUACAGCGAGUCUAACAGAGGAGAGAAUGGAGGCCCAGGGAUUUGAAUCGACUUGCAUAGGGCUUCACAGAUGCUCUUUUCCUACCUUGCUUUCUAGGUGAUGCACACUCUCACUGCACAGCUGUGUUCCCAGGCUUCCUGUACCUCAAAAACCUGAUCUAAGACCUAGAGAGGCAAUCCCAUACAUGUGGGGCUGAAAGCCAAGCCCAUGAUGCCGAAUCGGUCCUGCCCCUCACUAGCUUUCUUCCUGGACAGUGGGAAGUCACAGCAGUGAGACAGAGGGUCAGUGCUGGCAAAGCUCUAUGGUCCAAACACACAGUGAGUUCUACUUUACAAACUCCUUUUUAGACAGGAAUGAGUACGCAGAGGUGGUUAAUGGGUUCGCAACAAACCCCCAAAUAUGGCAACUGAGCGUAUUGACUAUCUUAGGCUGAAGGAGUCCAGGGAAAAGGCAGAAUCGGGGGGUAAUAGAUACAAACUAUUGCCUUUGUUAUGGAUAAGUGCUGUGAUGGAGCGUGAUAAUGUGAGAAAAAGAAUGUAUACAUGUAUGCGUGACUGGGUCACUUUGGGCUACAGCAGAAAAUUGACAGAACCCUGUAAACCAACUAUAAUGGAAAAAAUAAAAAUCAUUAAAAAAGGAAGAAAAAAAAAGAAAGGUCACCCUUGGAAUUCCUGUUGUGGCUCAGGGGGUUACAAACCUGGCUAGUAUCCAUGAGGAUUUGGGUUUGAUUCCUGGCCUCACUCGGUGGGUUAAGGGUCCAGCGUUGCCAUGAGCUGUGGUGUAGGUCAAAGAUAGGGCUCAGGUCUCACGUUGCUGUGGCUGUGGUUCAAGAUUCAGUCCUUAGCCUGGGAUCAUCCAUAUGCCUCACCUGCGGCCCUAAACAACAACAACAACAACAAAAGGAAGAAAGAAAAGAAAAUUCACCCUGACCUCUACCCUUGCCCUUGCUCCCUGAGACAGGUCAAAAAACUCUCCUGUAAAGUUCCUUUCCUGUUUCAGGAGGAAAAAGAGAUGUCCUUAUCCAUAGAGAGGGGGGCGUUUCGAGCAGAGAAAUCUGUAUAAACAAACCUUGUUAAACUGACCCUUAUCUUCCUAGUUACUUCUCUACCAUGUAGUAACUCAAACCCAAAAACGGUGUUGUCUUGUCGAUUUUUCACAGAUUCAUGUUCUUUGCCUAAAAGGUAUAAAAGCUUCCUGCUCUGGUCAUUUUGUCAGGUCUUGAUUUUCUUGUGAGGGCUCCCAUGCACAUGUGAAAAUUCAGUAAAAUAGGGGUUCUCAAUGUGGCACAGUGGGUGAAGAAUCCAGCUGCAGUGGCUUGGAUUUGUGAGGAGGUGCAGGUUCGAGCCCCAGCACAGUAGGUUAAAGGAUCGUUACAACUUGGAUGCUGUCCCUGGCCCAGUAACUUCCAUAUGCUACGAGUGGGCCCAUAAAAUUUUUAAAAAUAUGUACGCUUUUCUCUUGACAAAGUUUAUCUUUGUCAGUUUAAUUUUCAGAGCCUGCCAGAGACCCUAAGCGGGUCAAGGAAAAGGCUUCCCUUCCUGCAAAGCAAACCAUGUAUGGUUCACUCAACUUAUUUAAUGUACCUAAAUAAGUUAAAGACCAAUGCUCUAUAAGUUGGUAGAUCAGCAGAUUGCCAAAUCUUAUUUUUCCAAGUAAGCAAAUAAAAAAAUCAACUUAUGAGCACAUCUAUCUUUUUAACUAAAGAGCACCUAAAUUCAGAAUAGUAGAAAGGGUACAAUUUGAGAAGUAAAAACCGUCCUUCUCACAAAGGAACAAUAGUUUUGCUUCUGGUGUGAAAAACAUUGUCAGGGCUGUGUCAGCACAAAGCCUGGAGCUCACAUGCCCCUGUCUCCAGCUCAUCUUCUCUAAGGAUGAAGCAUGUUGCCAGAGGCCGUCCAUAGCUCCCUUCCCUCCUACCUUCCCACGGCAAGGCUCAGGGGCUCUGACUGUGAAGACAAUGUCAAGGCUUCUAAAUGAAGCAGCUGCCAAUCCCUUGAGCCUUAGCCAGUGUUUUCUCAAGUCUGCACAUAAAUCCAACUUGCCAGAAUCGGAUCCCAUGAAAAUCAUCAGAGGUAGAUGACAGGCAAAUCUACAAAAUGAAAUGUAACCUCAGAGAAGAGCAACCCCGGCCCUUUGUUGCAAAAUCCAUCUGCACUUCUGGGGAAGCCUAUACACAUGGUGCAUGAGAAACAAACAGCAAGCUUACUGACAGAUCAGCCAGUGUGGACUUCAACUGCAUGAACUCACAUGCCCCUGUGUCCAGACUUAGGAUGGUGACGGCUGUGCUCAGCUCUGUGGAAUUCAGACCACAUCUGGAGGUGAGGUGCCAACAGGGAUGGAGGCAGACUGAAACUGGCAGGUGAUGGGAAGGGCCAAGACCCUGGGCUGUGUUGUGAAAGAACACUGAUGACCCAGGGACGAUUGUGUCAGAGGGGUGGACUGUCAGGGAGACACAGGCACUAUCUUCAAAUGUCUGAGGAGCUGUCAUGAGAAGAGAAAAUAGAACUGCCAGAGGGCAUAAGAAGGUCAAAUGAUUGGAAAUAAGGAAAAACAGAUUUAUGCCGCAUAAAGAAAAAACUCUUGGAUUUCCCACUUUGGCGCAGUGGGUUAAGGAUCCCACUGCAGCAGCUCAGGUUACUGUGAAGGCACGGGUUCUAUCCCUGGCCCAGGAACUUCCAUGUACCAAGGGUGCUGCCAAAAAGGAAAAAGAAAAAACUCUUAACUCUUACAGCUGUCAAGAGAAAAGGAAAGAAGGGGAGGGGAGGGGUUCUUAUAGCUUCUAGCAAGGGAUUAGAGAUUCUGAUCAUCCUGCUGUUUGAUCUUUAACAUCUGUCUCCUUUCUCUGUUUUUUGUCCACAAUAGAAGCCAUUAUCGAUGAUGACCUCAGAACAUCCUUCUGGUUUGAAUAGGUUCUGGCUUCUAUCAAUAAGCAUGCCUGAGUUUUUUCCCCUUAGUUUUGAUGAUGACAAUUCUCCUUUCUUGAAUAUUUUCUAUGAAAAAGGGACUGUACAUUUUUGAAGUAGACUGUUAUCCCCAUUGUUUAGAUAAGGAAACUAAGUUUCAGAGUUGAUACUUAAUUUGUUCAAGCCACCCAGCUAGCAAGAAGGUUGAAAACUUGCUUCUAACCCAAAUGUAUGGGAUUCUUGUAAAUCCCAGGAUGCCUGGCCUAAAAAGAGUUCACAUUUAUUAUCUUGAGAGUAUUCUCAUUUUGCUCCAGCAGCCUUUGUUUCCUUACGAAGUUCUACAUCUAGAAACUGACACACAAAUUCCUGGUUGCUCAAGGAUUACCUUGGAGCUCAGCUUCAUAAAAUGUUUGCCCUUCUCAGGUCUAUUUUCUUUGCUAGGAAUGCAAACUUCCACAACAAUGCCUCCUGUCAUGUUCGGGAACUCAGUGUCCCCCGAAAUGACAUUCAGACCACAGAGGGUUCAAUGUCCUUCACCCCAAACUACAGUUAUCUUUCUUUGUACUUCACAUCAACUGUUUACUCCUUAGGGUUAACUCCUUUUCCACAUCUAAAGUAUCCUCCUUCUGAUCAAAACACUUUAUUUGUGUGUGUGUGUCUUUUGUCUUUUUUAGGGCCUCACUUGAAGUCUAUGGAGGUUCCCAGGCUAGGGGUCCAACAGGAGCUGUAGCUGCCAGCCUACACCACAGCCACAACAACUCGGGAUGGGAGCCAUGUCUAUGACCUACACCACAGCCCAUGGCAACACUGGCAAGGCCAGGGAAUCCGCCCCCUCAUGGAUACUAGUCAGGUUCAUUAACCACCAAGCCAUGACAGGAACUCCCUGCAUUUCAUUCUUUAUACUCACUCCCUCAUUUCCUGACCCUGGCACCCUGAUCACCUUGAUCUCUUGGAGAACUGUCCCCUCUUCUUCAAAAAUAUUAUUCUUGGAGUACCCAUUCUAGCCCAGUGGGUUAAUAACCCUGUGUAGUCUCCAUGAAGAUUCAGGUUCAAACCCUGGACUCCCUCAGUGGGUUAAGAAUCUGCUGUUGCCACAAGCUGAGGCAUGGGUUGCAGAUGCAGCUCAGAGCUGGUGUUGCUGUGGCUGUAGCGUAGGCCUGAAGCUGCAGCUGUGAUUUGACCCCUAGCCUGGGAACUUCCAUAUGCUGCAC